AUUGAACGCUGGCGGCAUGCCUUACACAUGCAAGUCGAACGGUAACGGGCCUUCGGGUGCCGACGAGUGGCGCACGGGUGAGUAAUACAUCGGAACGUGCCCGAUCGUGGGGGAUAACGAGGCGAAAGCUUUGCUAAUACCGCAUACGAUCUACGGAUGAAAGCAGGGGACCGCAAGGCCUUGCGCGGACGGAGCGGCCGAUGGCAGAUUAGGUAGUUGGUGGGAUAAAAGCUUACCAAGCCGACGAUCUGUAGCUGGUCUGAGAGGAUGAUCAGCCACACUGGGACUGAGACACGGCCCAGACUCCUACGGGAGGCAGCAGUGGGGAAUUUUGGACAAUGGGCGCAAGCCUGAUCCAGCCAUGCCGCGUGCAGGAUGAAGGCCUUCGGGUUGUAAACUGCUUUUGUACGGAACGAAAAGCCUUCUAUUAAUACAGGAGGGUCAUGACGGUACCGUAAGAAUAAGCACCGGCUAACUACGUG
rnacentral:rRNA from 1 species